rnacentral:tRNA from 1 species
UGGUGUAGAGUUUAUUCAUAACACUAGAAUUUGGAUCUAGAGAAGACAAUCGAGUUUGUCUAUACCAC